CAUUGUGGUUCCAGUGGUUUCCUUAGUUAUGCAAGUUGAUUAAUAAUGCCCUGGUGUUACAACUAUUUUUUAAAUUAUUUUUAAUUAAAAUUUUUUCAUUCACGACAUUUGCAGGUUCUGAGCAGUGAGAAACAAUUGUUGCUGAUGUAGAGUUUUGUAACGGUGGACCCCACAGUCUAUGACAGAAACAAGUAGGACAGAAAAUUCUGUCUUCAUCACUAUUAAAGAAAAAGGGAGGUUUGCAUUUGAAGGAGCAGUACUUAUUGGCAGCCAUGUAGCUUUGUAGUUGCUUCGAAGAAUUUUUUUCCUUGUCUGGUGAUUGGUUGGACUUUGAAUACCUCCUAUCCUUAUAGCCAUGGAACACUUGGCAUUGACUCCAUUUACACUUGCAGAGACAAAAACGAACAUAUUUGCAACAAGUAUUUUUUGUGACCACGAAACAAAAAAUUGUGAAUUUUUUUAAGUACCUAUAUUUAGAAGACAUCUAGCGGAGGAAUUGCUUGUUA